rnacentral:ncRNA from 2 species
AAAUCCGAGGAGCGUUGCAGCGCCCCCAGCAACAACAGCGGGGCGUGAGGCUCGGAGUCAUCUAGCAACGACGCUCAUCCACU